AUUGAACGCUGGCGGCAGGCCUAACACAUGCAAGUAGAACGAGUGGCGGAAGGGUGAGUAAUGUCUGGGAAACUGCCUGAUGGAGGGGGAUAACUACUGGAAACGGUAGCUAAUACCGCAUACCAUCGGAGGUGCCCAGAUGGGAUUAGCUAGUAGGUGGGGUAAAGGCUCACCUAGGCGACGAUCCCUAGCUGGUCUGAGAGGAUGACCAGCACCACUGGAACUGGUACACGGUCCAUACUCCUACGGUAGGCAGCAGUGGGGAAUAUUGCGCAAUGGGCGCAAGCCUGAUGCAGCCAUGCCGCGUGUAUUAAUAAGGCCUUCGGGUUGUAAAGUACUUUCAGCGGGGAGGCGUUACCCGCAGAAGAAGCACCGGCUAACUCCGUGCCAGAAGCCGCGGUAAUUC
rnacentral:rRNA from 1 species